GAUGAACGCUGGCGGCGUGCCUAAUACAUGCAAGUCGAGCGAACAGACGAGGAGCUUGCUCCUCUGACGUUAGCGGCGGACGGGUGAGUAACACGUGGAUAACCUACCUAUAAGACUGGGAUAACUUCGGGAAACCGGAGCUAAUACCGGAUAAUAUAUUGAACCGCAUGGUUCAAUAGUGAAAGACGGUUUUGCUGUCACUUAUAGAUGGAUCCGCGCCGCAUUAGCUAGUUGGUAAGGUAACGGCUUACCAAGGCAACGAUGCGUAGCCGACCUGAGAGGGUGAUCAGCCACACUGGAACUGAGACACGGUCCAGACUCCUACGGGAGGCAGCAGUAGGGAAUCUUCCGCAAUGGGCGCAAGCCUGACGGAGCAACGCCGCGUGAGUGAUGAAGGUCUUCGGAUCGUAAAACUCUGUUAUUAGGGAAGAACAAAUGUGUGAGUAACUAUGCACGUCUUGACGGUACCUAAUCAGAAAGCAACGGCUAACUACGUG
rnacentral:rRNA from 1 species